rnacentral:rRNA from 1 species
UUCAUUAAUCAAGAACGAAAGUUAGGGGAUCGAAGAUGAUCAGAUACCGUCGUAGUCUUAACCAUAAACUAUGCCGACUAGGGAUCGGGUGGUGUUUUUUUAAUGACCCACUCGGCACCUUACGAGAAAUCAAAGUCUUUGGGUUCUGGGGGGAGUAUGAUCGCAAGGCUGAAACUUAAAGGAAUUGACGGAAGGGCACCACCAGGAGUGGAGCCUGCGGCUUAAUUUGACUCAACACGGGGAAACUCACCAGGUCCAGACACAAUAAGGAUUUGACAGAUUGAGAGCCUCUUUCUUGAUUUUGUGGGUGGUGGUGCAUGGCCGUUCUUAGUUGGUGGAGUGAUUUGUCUGCUUAAUUGCUAUAACUAACGAGACCCUUAACCUACUAAAUAGUAGUGCAAGCAUUGCUGGGUUGCUACUUUCUAAAGGGACCAUCGGUUUCAAGCCAAUGGAAGUUUUGAGGCAUAACAGGU